AGGAUGCGCCAUUACUAGUCUAACCUCUCCAAGGUUUUCAGCUGCUGUUUUAUUUAGCUAGACUGACUACACUGCCUACAGCAACUCUGGCCAAUGAUUCCCCCAGUGGCAUGCAUGAGCUGCCCUGUUCGACUGCAAAAAUACAUUAUGGCUGAAUUUACCCUGAGAGUUUGGAAAGAUCUAAGGUCUUUGGAGACUGAAAAUGUGUUUUUUCUUUGUUUUAGCUGACAGGAUGAGCCUCUGGCAUUUUAAAGUGCAAGUCAUUAGCGUCCACAAGGGUGAUGUUAAUAUGUCUGUGUUUCAAUCUCAGGACAUUUUCCAGUUGCUUCUGCCACAGCAAUCUCUGCCAUCUCAGUGCUUUUCAAGCCCCCUGUGAAUUAAAGGAAGCUUUGCCGUGCCAGCAGGAAUCACAGUAGACUUCCGCUUAGGCCAGUUGCCAUCUGAUUCAGCCUUUGCAGUGGUUGACACACCACUGACUGAGAAAGGAUUGCCAUUCACGUCUAGAGUAAGAAGGGACGGGGAAGAGAGGACAGAAAUGAUUCCCAGCGUCUGAAGUCCUGGUACGGUGCCAGGUAAAUUAUUCAGAAAGCAGAGCUCGGGGUUGUAUCGCCAGUGGUUUCAUCCUGUGCAUCCAAGCCAUACAAUACAUGAAGAGUCAAGAGGACGGAACAACUAGAAUAAAUCAAAUGGAUGGUGACAUCUAUCCCAAAGGACGGUGGAGACGAUGUGUUCACCAGACUCCAAUGGUGCUUUUAUUAAAUCAUUCUGGAAACCUUCACUUGCCUUUGCACAUAAACAUUUUUUAAAAUGUUUUGCUAAAGUUAGCAACAGCAUGUCAUAGGGAUAUCACCCAAUAAUUUGCAUUCAUAUAUAGAUUUGACAAUGUCUGACCUAAGCUUUGUUAAGAUUGAUAAUGGCUAGCCCACAGAGACAGUCUAAGACAUUUUGCUGCCUGAGGUAGAACAGCAAAUAGUGUCUCUAUCUCCCGCAAAGUUAUGAUAUGUAAUACAGGAGGCUGACCAGGUUAUUUUGGUGCCUGAGGCAGAAAAUUCUACAAGCCUUUCUUUCCUUCCUUGGCAAUAAAAACAACAACAAUCAAUUCUGUGGCAGCUAGUGGCGGGGCUGGUCUGCCAUAAAAUUAUAUUGUAAAUCUGUUACAUGUCGUGAUGUUAUAGCAAUAAAGCAAUACGGAAAUAAAAAAGGAGAAACCCUUAUGCAUAAAUAGAUAUGUGUUUAGAUAAUCUCCUUACUCCAAAUUUAAAUCUGUUAUAACAUUAGUGAAUCCUUGAAUAUGGAGAUAACUUCCAUGUUUUAAACUGUGAGCAACAAUAUUUUCCCAGCCACCUGUGUCAAUAUUAAAUAAUUCUUGAGAUAAAAACUGAUCCCAGUGGUAUCUCAGAACAAGAAAAAUCCCCAUUUACUGAUUAGGAGUAAUUGCAUUUUAUUCUGAAAAGUGGCAUAUGCUUAUACAUUUGAACACAAACCCUGUUAGUCCUGUGUCUCGCAUUAAUUUUAUUAAACAGACCUGAAGUGGUAGUCCAACUGAAUACUUUUCAAAGGGUGUAAUCAACAUCUCUGCAAAACUCACAUUAAUUUUGAUGGUGCUCCAUUCUACCCAAGUACUUGUGGUAUCAUUACAUACUAACACUAUGAAUAACAUAUGUAGAUUUAUUAAGGUGUGGGAGGAUUAUAUUAUUUCCAGUUCACUUCCAGAAUUUUAUUGCUUUCCUGACUAACCUGUUAUUUUCUUUGAGCCCGUCAACCUUUCACAUAUUGUAGAAUGAUUACUUCAUUCCCACAAACAACUCUGAAAGCUGGGUUACUGUGAGUUUUCCAGGCUGUCUGGCCAUGUUCCAGAAGCAUUCUCUUUUGACGUUUUGCACACAUCUAUGGCAGGCAUCCUCAGAGGUUGUGAGGUCCGUUGGAAACUAGACAAGUGGGGUUUAUAUAUCUGUGGAAUAAUGUCCAGGGUGGGAGAAAGAACUCUUGUCUGCUUGAGGCAAGUGCAAAUGUUGCAAUUGGUCACCUUGAUUAGCAUUGACUAGCCAUGCAGCUUCAAAGCCUGGUUGCUUCUUGCCUGGGGGAAUCCUUCAUUGGGAGGUGUUAGCUGGCCCUAAUUGUUUCCUGUCUGAAAUUCUGCUGUUUUCUGAGUGGUAUUCUUUAUUUACUGCCCUGAUUUUAGAGUUUUUUAAAUACUGAUAGCCAGAGUUUGUUCAUUUGCAUGGUUUCCUCCUUUCUGAUGAAAUUGUCCACAUGCUUGUGGAUUUCAAUGACUUCUCUGUGUAGUCUGAUAUGGUGGUUGUUAGAGUGGUCCAGCAUUUCUGUGUUCUCAAAUAAUAUGAUGUAUCCAGAUUGGUUCAUUAAGUGCUGAAAGCUUCUACUGCAUUUCUGUCUUAUGUUUUUGUGAAAUGGCAUGUCUUGCAAUCAGUCAACUGAUUUCACACACUGUAGCUACAUAUUAUGGUUAUGUUAUUGUUAUGUGCCUUCAAGAUAACUCCAACUUAUGGCUACUGUAUCAUAGAGUUCAAAGAAAUUUAUAGUAUUUACACCUUAAUCACCAACCAAAAUAGCUGUCAGAACGGUCUACAAAUUGGUAAUUUGACAGUCUCCAUCCUUCAGGCUUAAAAUCUAAAUACUGUAAAUCAGAACACACAAGGAAAAGGGGAUGGCAGUGGCAGAGGAGAUUAAACCAAACAGAUGCUCUCUCAUCUUUUCUCCUUGUGUGGCCUGGGCAGUGGCAACUGGGAUGCAGGAUGUCAUGCUGAGGAUGUCAUAUUGAGGAGGGAGACUAAGACAUGAAGCAGUCAGUGGAUUCAAAGAGGAAAAGAGAUUCCACCUAAACAUUAUGAAAAAUUCCUGGCAGUAAGAGCUAUUCAAUAUUGCAGUAUGUUGCCCUUGGAGUAUGGUGGAGUCUUCUUCUCCAUAUAUUUUUGCGUGUCUCCUAAAAUGUCUAAAUAUUAGGAGUGGUUGCAUUUGUUUACUAUGAAGAAAACACAGCACAGAUGCCCUGUUAAAUGUCGCUUAAACCCAAGUAUGACAGCAGAACGUUGCAGCUUUGGUGACAGACCAAGGUGGGGAAACUUUGACAUUCUAAAUGUUUUUGAUUUAAAUGCCCAGUAGCAGCACCAAGCAUUAUCAAAGGUGAGAGGAACUGUGAAAGGCAAAAGGUUCAUUAACCCUGAGAUCAACAAAACUCUUUGUGUGAGAAAAGGAAUUCUAUUUCUCGAAUUUCAAGUGUUGAAGGCACUUCACAUGCAUUGCCUAGUUGCAUUUUUAUUGAUACAGCCAUUCAAUUAACAAUCUUUUGCCAUAUAGGUCUUACCGUAUCUCAAUAUACAUUGUUCCAAAAGUCACUUUAGCUUAAUUGACGCUUUAUUGGAUGUGUAUCACCUGUUUCCCAUGUCCUCCUCCCCCCACUUCCCACUUCUCUCCUGGAACAGCGAAUUCAAAUAAUCUGUGGAUGCUCAAGUCCUAUUAUGUAAAAUGGUGCUCUUCAUAUACAAUGGUAAACAAAUCAAAUGAGUGCUGGGAGAAAUGAUGAGCGGCUACAGUAGGGUAUGCCUAUGCACCAGUAAAAUCACAUGACAAUAUCAUGAUACCUAUUUUGGAUUACUCCCCCCCCCCCCGGGAUAUUUUUGGGCUGUGGUUGGUUGAAUCUGAUCUCUGGGUGUAAAAUCUUUGGAUACAGAGGUCAACUGUACUCCAUAUUAUUCAUUUCAUUAUUCAUAUGACAUUGUAUUUGUCUUGUUGUGUGCCGUCAAGUUGUUUCCAACUUAUGGAAACCUAUCAUAAGGAUUUCUUGGCAAGAUUUGUUUAGAUGGAGUUUGAACACUCUUAAUAAACUUUUACUUACUGGAUUUCCUGGACAGGGUGUGGUUUGUGGUGAAAAGAUGUUUCAGGGCUCUAGUGCAACAGAAGCAAUGCCUCGCACUUCUGAUGGACAAGGCUUCCUUCUGUCUCCCUACCCUCACUGUUGCCACUUCCACUCCCAAUGGCACAAGUAGGAUAGAGAAAGAAAGAGAGAAGUAGCACAGGUUUCCAAGCUGAUCCAAGCCAGGGAACCAGAACCAGAUUACGAAGAAAGACCACAAGAGGAAACCUCAGAGCCGGCCGCCCCUGCAGCCCAAAUAGCUGCCAAUGAACCACACCGCUCCAACUCUCUCAGCUCCCAAUUCUCUUCCUUCAAAACAAAUCCAGGGGUACCAAGACCAUAUAAUGUAAUGUGGACUCAUAUAAUGCAGACUGAACUGUGUUGAACUGGAUUAGUCAGUCAGUCACCUUUAUUUCGGUCAACAAACCAUUGUCUAGAGUCAAGUGAGAGUACAUUUGAGUAAUUUAUGAAAUUGCAUUUGGCUUCUGGUUAAUAACAAGUAUCUCCAUUCAUUGAACUGGAUUAUAUAAGUCUACUAUGUUCAAUGCAAUUAGGAAUUUAUCCCACAAGAGGGGGGAAAGUGGUGGGAACUGUUUUACCCUGUUCCCUCCAAUCUUUCCCCAUCUUCUGGGAUGGCCAGCCAUCCCAGAUCCUAUUGGUUAUUGAUUAUCGGUUGUUGCUGAGUUUAUGCUUUUAUGACUUGUACAGUAGAGUCUCAUUUAUCCAACAUAAACGGGCCGGCAGAAUGUUGGAUAAGCGAAUAUGUUGGAUAAUAAGGAGAGAUUAAGGAAAAGCCUGUUAAACAUCAAAUUAGGUUAUGAUUUUACAAAUUAAGCACCAAAACAUCAGGUUAUACAACAAAUUUGACAGAAAAAGUAGUUCAAUAUGCAGUAAUGCUAUGUAGUAAUUACUGUAUUUACGAAUUUAGCACCAAAAUAUCACGAUGUAUUGAAAACAUUGACUACAAAAAUGCGUUGGAUAAUCCAGAAUGUUGGAUAAGUGAGACUCUACUGUAUAUGUUUUUAUGUAUUAAUUCAUUGUAAUUGAAUGUAUCUUAUGUUGUUGUAUUUUAUUGUUGCAUUAUUGGGCUUGGUCCUCAUGUAAGCCGCCCCAAGUCCCUUCGGGGAGAUGGGGCUGUCAGGGUAUUGUGAAUUGUUGAAAUCAAUCUAGGCUGUUAGAAAUGCCUUCUGUGUGAGUUUCGGCAAGGCAUUUCAGUAACUAUGGAGUUAAUAAGAACCUGCUUUGAUUGAUGUAUCACAGGACCAAUGGGGUCGAGUUUGUUUGACCGGGACUUCCUUCUUGGUCUGUGGAAUGCAGGGGAGUGUCGUCUGGUAGUGUGUGUUCGGCUUGAGCAUUCUCUGGAGAUGGACUAUGAAUGCUAUGCUCUGUAGCCGAGAAGACACAGCCAUGUGUCUGGGAUUUAUUGUGAAUAACUGUAACUGUAAAUAGUUAUGUAAAUAAAGUUAAACAACAGUUGGAUUUUUAACUAA